GAGGCGGCGGGGACCGGGAGCACCGAGAGAGAAGCGCUGGGGUGGAUGAACCGGGGGGUCACAGAGUCACAGAUUCGGGAGGGCAUUUGUCCACCGCGGCGGACACCCCGGGCGGCAGGGAACGUAGCCGGGCCCCGGAGCGGUGCCUGCGGAGCCGGGGAACGGGCAAAGCGCUGCCGAUACAGAGCUGGGGGAGAAGGCUGAGGAGGGCAGCGCGAAGCCGGACAGCGCGGCUCAGCGCGGCCGCUCCCGGAGCUCUGGCGCCGCUUGGCGGCCGCCUCCUCUCCUGGGUGCAGCUCCGGCCCGGCAGCUGAUGGAGGCAAUGGGUGACCGGAUGGCUGCUGGAGAACCGCGCCUUGUGCGAGGAGCAGGUGGUGCGAGGAGCCGAUGGAAUGGGAAGCCUUGGGAAGCCCCUAUAAAGCAGCAGCUCCAACCCAGGCUGCCCCUUCUGUGGGCAAGAGGAACCAUCGCACCGCAUCGCACCUGACUCUGACAUGGGGUUGUGUCCCCCCGUUCCUGCUGGAAGCCACCCCAGGUGUCAGAGCUCUGCAGGCCCAGCAGCCCCCCAUGGUGAGCUCAGCCUCCAUCCCCCCCAUCCAUAGGACUGGGUGAAGCGCCCAAUGGCAGCAUCCACUGCUCUUCUCACCCACCUCCCCCAGUUUUUUGUCCAGCAGGAGUAACAAAAGGAAAAGACCACACUGGGAGAGGAGCCGUGCUGGCCUGGCUUAGUGCUCUGCUCAGCUUCAGUGAGUUUGCGAAACCCAAGGAAGAAGGGUGAAAUAAUUAGCUGGAAUGUGGGGCUUUUGUCCCUGCAUUGUUAUCCCCGAGCAGAUCUGAAACAUUAGACGUCCAGCAGGUGAUGCUUUCAAAUGAAAAACAGUUCCCCCUUUCUCCAACUACUACAUACUUUCCCUAUCUAAUCAGUACUACAGAAUGGGGAGGUGCUGACAAAAGCAGGAAUAGCCGAUGACUUCACCAGUGUGGCAGCAGCUCUCCCUUCACUGUGGGUUUAUGAAGGUAUUUUUGUUGUUUGCUUUAAUUCUGCCUUUCCCUCCUGACCAGGCUGCUGGUUGAGUCCUUGCUGUGACUGUAGCAAACCCGAGCUGCUGCUCUUGCACUCGAGACAAAGCAUUUACAGAUGUGCGUGUACAACGAUGUGCAAACAAUCACCAUCUGAUUACAGUCUUUGCAAGGUACUCCCAUUGGCGUGAUAAACCACAAACGCCCAUCGAAGAAUCCCAACAAACUUACAACAUGGUUCAAGUUCGUAACGAAUCGCAGCGUCUCCUCAGUAAAACUUUCACACGAUUAAAAUAGUUUGUAUUCAUUUUAUUUGUAUAUGUCAAAAUACUUCUUUUUUUCUUUUCUUUCUUUCUUUCCAAAAUAGUGGGUUUUGCAACUAGUUUCAUGCAGAUACAAGGUCUGCUCAGUACUACCAAUAAAAUCAAUAGAGCACAGUA